CUGAUCUAUUGCAUUUGUGUAGUUGAGACCUAUAAGGUGAUGGUUGUUUGCAUGCAGUGACAUCCUGUGAGAGUGCUGGAAGCUAACAGGUGAUCCCACACUCUUAUCACUUAUGCAACCAAUCAGUUCUGCUGGAGAAGGCUGAGUGGGGACGUGCAGCCAAUAUGCUGGGCAGGCUUAGAGGGCUGAUCGAACCAAUGCGCCAUCAGUUGACAGGUUGACUGCUGACGCUCAACCGUCGACUCUGCCUAUGCUUCUCGCUCUGGUGGAGUACUGGCAUUGACGGGAGAGCGCUCAGCAGUCGAUUUAUCGCGUCUUCCCUAGAUGGGAUAAAUAGACCCUCGCUGGAUCGAUCACUCUGGAGGGAUGAAGAAUAAAGCUGCUGUAGAGGCUUCCUGAAAUUAAUUGGUACAACAUUUUGUGACACAGAGCAACAAGAGUGAAUCCAGUGAAGAGUCUACCAGGCUGGGAUGUUCUUUGUUCAUCUUCAGCAACAAGAGUAGGAAAGUUCAAACUCAGGAGAAUCCAGGCGAGAAGAGUCAAGCAGGCUCAAUUUUGAUUAGGAUGAGUCAGAUGAGAAACACACUGGAGAAGAGCUCUUUGUGAGGAGAAACUCAUAGAAUCACUUCAACUGUCAAACUCUAGUCUGCAUCCUGCUUUGGAGAAAAUAUGCCUUCUUUUAAACUAAACCCCUACCAAUUAGUGUGAAUUUACAACACAAUCCUAGUAGAAAUGCAUGCUGAUGAUAAAUGCCUCCAUUUUUGGGUGCCUAAUCUGAGAUGCCCAGAUGUCUCAACAAGAGAGUCAAAUUUUCAAGUGUCAAGAAGGGCCAUGCAGCUAUUCUGGGCUGAGCUGAAAUUAGAACUCAUGAGUCCCCCUUCUCUUGCAGUCAUUUUGGUAGACCAUCCUGCUUGGUAUGAUCAGGGGCGGCUCUAGGAAUUCCGCCGCCCCAAGCAGGGCGGCACACUGCGGGGCGCGCUCUGGCGGUCGCCGGUCCCGCGGCUCUGGUGGACCUCCCGCAGGCAUGCCUGUGGAUG